GAGUAUUGAAGUGGGUACCUUGCCUCAAGCAACAUAUGGACGUGAUCAAGAAAAUAACUUCACGUAUGUUUCCAAGCUUCAGGUCGACAGUCAACAUUGGAAUCACAUAGGGGUACAGAUACCAACACAGACCAAACCUUUCAGGAUCGCAUUUAAGGUACAGUUAAAAAACAGUUCGAGUUACUGGAGCUACAUUAAAUUAGGAGGUUUGAAAUGUCUAAACUGCACUGAAACAGAGGAUGCCAGUUCAAUAAGCUCAGAAUCUGGUGGCAAUACUAAUUUAACUGCAGCUUUUAACAAUACUGAUGUUUCUGAAAUCCAUCGCCCUUCUGGUAAGUACUUCAAUAAUUUAGUUAUUAAAUGAACAGGGUUAUUACUAGA